rnacentral:rRNA from 1 species
GGGGCUUGAGUUCGCUCCAGCGCAUGUGUCUUAUCUCUUUGUUGCCUCGGCGCAAGCUACCCGGGACCCUUCGCCCCGGGCGGCCCGCCGGCGGACAAACCAAACUCUGUUAUCUUCGUUGAUUAUCUGAGCGUCUUAUUUAAUAAGUCAAAACUUUCAACAACGGAUCUCUUGGUUCUGGCAUCGAUGAAUAACGCAGCGAAAUGCGAUAAGUAAUGUGAAUUGCAGAAUUCAGUGAAUCAUCGAAUCUUUGAACGCACAUUGCGCCCAUUAGUAUUCUAGUGGGCAUGCCUGUUCGAGCGUCAUUUCAACCCCUAAGCACAGCUUACUGUUGGGACUCUACGGCCUCCGUAGUUCCCCAAAGCCAUUGGCGGAGUGGCAGUAGUCCUCUGAGCGUAAUAAUUCUUUAUCUCGCUUUUGUUAGGUGCUGCCCCCCCGGCCGUUAAACCCCCCAAUUUUUUCUGGUUGACCUCGGAUCAAGUAGGAAUACCCGCUGAACUUAAGCAUAUCAAUAAGCGGAGGAA